rnacentral:rRNA from 1 species
UACAGAGGUCUCAAGCGUUGUUCGGAUUCAUUGGGCGUAAAGGGUGCGUAGGCGGCGCGGUAAGUCGGGUGUGAAAUCUCGGAGCUUAACUCCGAAACUGCAUUCGAUACUGCCGUGCUUGAGGACUGGAGAGGAGACUGGAAUUUACGGUGUAGCGGUGAAAUGCGUAGAUAUCGUGAGGAACACCAGAGGCGAAGGCGGUUACCUGGACAGUUACUGACGCUCAGGCACGAAAGCAUGGGGGAGCAAAAAGGG